UCACAACUCCCAUUCCUCAAACAGAACUCCUUGUUUUUAUAAUACAAAAGACAAUGAACAAACAUUUAUUGUGUAUUACAAGAGGUGUCUUGAAAUUUAUCUUCAAGUUCUUUAAACCUCUGACUUAACUUCAGAAAGACUGCUAAGAGUGUGUAUUUAAGUACCACCUUUCCGUAUAUAUCGCCUGUUUGUGCUUGACUUUCAUCUGAUAAAUAAACCAUAUUUUAGGAGCACCUCCCAGCUCCUAACAGCAGGUGUGGCGUACUUUACAUCAUCCAACAGUCCAGGAAAAGUCAACAAUCUUGGAAGAAAAGGCAAGAUGUUCAGGAUUUUGCAAAUUAGAAUACUUCUCAUUGACUCUUCUGAGGACUGUGCUUAUAUUGAUUUGCUCUGGAGUAGCAAGAGGGAGCUGCAGCAAACAGUGCUACAUAACUCCUAUGACUGCCCCUUCAAAACUGCAGGCACUAUGUAGUCCUUCUUGUCUUCUGCUUAGGAGAAGGGCAGUGCAGCUGUCUUCAGCUGAAGAUAAUUUGAGAAGGACUUUAAGGUAGAGUUUUUCUCUCAUAAGAAAUUCCCCCCACAUCCAAGAUGGCCACCUGUCCCCCAGCCACUUAUCGUAGCACUUCUCCCUUCCUUGUUCCUCUCUGUCUCAGGCACCUCUAAUUCCUUUCCAAGCAUCUCCUGGGCUUUUGUCUCAUAAAGCAAUUGCUUGUUUUGUCUUAAGAGGCAAAGCCCCUAAGUCUGGCAGCCAGUGAGGGCAGCUGCCUGCUCACUCCUCAGCAGGAUGGUUGAACUGGCAAAAGUACUUUUCAACAGUGCCUCAGCUAAGAGAAUGAAGAUUUGGGUUUCCCCUUCCAGUUUGUAGGACAUGAGGGAAAAUUAUUCUGGCUCUGUCACAGCCCUGCUUGCAGAUUUAAGGCAAAUGUUUGAAUUUUAAAGAGGGGCAAUAUCCCAAAUCUGCCAGUCUCCUACAGUCACUCAGCAUCUCUUAAAAGCCUGUUCUUAAAUCUUGUGGUACUACAGCUCUUUUUAAUCAGUCAUUGUCUGCUUACUUCAGCUUACAGCUCUCAAGGGACAAUUUCACAGAGGGUUUGAUGAGGAGCAGGACCCAUGCUUGGAGCUCCAUGUCACAUACUACAAAUCAGUAGUUGUGGGAAAAGACAGGAAGAUAAAUCAGCAUGGAAAUGAUUUACUUAGCGAGUCUUCUCCACAAGGACCAAGGGAAGGGGCAGUGAUGCUAGACAAAUAAGCUGUAACAUCUCUACACAAAACAUUCAUGGUGUUUUGGGGCUGGUGCCUCUGCAAGCACAUCUUUGCAGUAGUUUUUGUGGAGGAAUGGCAGAAGGCUAAGGAAGUGGCUGUGUGUAGUCCUACAUGGCACAGUAAUACCACCUGCUAGCUUGGAUGUCCCACUUGUGCAGCAGCAGCACGCAGGUGUCUUUGCAUAUGUAGACAAGAUAUUUCCUUUUGGAGAAACCAGUAGUCCAAUUUAUAUUUUGUGGUGGGGUGGAGGGCAGUUUUCAGGCAGUUUUUGGUGCCAGACGGCGUAGGUUUACUUUGGAGGUAAAUUAGGCAGUGUCCCCUGGGAGUGGCUGGGCUGUGAUGAAGGCGUACCCAGAGAACACCAGGAGGGAGAGAAGGGAGAAGGCAGCAGGGGUGGGGAUGCAGCAAGAAGGCCUUAUUCCUGGCUAGGGGGCACACAGCAGUAUCCUCAAACCACAGGCACCCCCUGCACAAGGAAAGGACACUGAAGUUUACUCCCCGCUUCUGUCAAAGACAUAGUGCACAGAGGGGGAGAAACAGUAAGCCUUAGCUGCAGUGUGUGGGUUGUUUUGCACACAAUUGCUAGCCAUCACGCAGCAGAACCACGCCAUUUGUCUGCAAGUUAUCUGCAAAGUGUCAGUUGAGCUUGGGAUUUGGGUAAUAAGACAUCACUGAUACGGAACAGUAUAUUUAGGCUGGGGGGACAAAUGGAAGUGUAAUGUAAAACCAAGAUGAAAUAACUCAUACAUAAAACUUACUUACAAGGCAAGAGACAAGCUUGCAGACUUUUCAAGAAGCCCAUAAUUUUUCAUAGCUCUGCCACAGCUCCUCAGGAAAAGUUCAGAGAUACUGGUAUAGUUCAACUCUAAGAGACAGAAAGAAAUUUAAAAAUAUAUCUGCUGAUACCCCCCAUACCCCAAUGCAAUGAAUUGGUGGAGGCAGGUGGUGCAAUGGGUUAAUUUCCUGUUAAAAAGAGAGGCAGAAUGCAUGUCAGUGUGAAGAUCUGGUGACACCAUUGGCAAGGUGCAGGCUAAUGGUCCACAGCACGUCUGGAAGGCAGUAAGAGAGAGCAGUGAUGAGGAGGCAGUCAGUAGAAAUAUGCCCCUACACUGAGGCAGCAACAUUCUGCUGUGUCUGCGCAGCUGAGAUUCACAGGGGGCAAACCUGACUCAGGGACAAUGUGCAUCACUGAUGGUGCAGAUGGGAGAAGACUUAUAUCAAUGUGCUACACUGUCUGAGAAGUAAAUAGCUCUUCUGUAGCCAUGAUAAAUCAGUGCACAGCUUGCUGUAUACCUUUCUGGCCACCCGUGGACCUAUUUUUUCUCUUUUGUUACCUAGUUUCUGCACAGUGGGGCAGCUCUUGCUUUCUGGAACAUAAUGUCAUACUAUGCGGCAUCAGACACGUGGUUCUACAUAAACAGUGACCAGAACCUUUAAAAACAUUUUAAAAAUUGAAAAUAAUAUGUACUUACAGGGGAAGAGACAAGCUGAGAAGGUUUCCAGUAAGCCUGCUGUGCCUCUGCUGUUGCCCUCCUCGAGGGCCCAGCAGCACUGUGUGCUCCCAGGCAAUGAGUACUCUGGGGCUGAACGAGCAAGAUGAGAGACAAACUCCAAAAACCUCCAAUACUAAAAUGUGGAGAAUCAUCAGCUGUUGUUGCUUCAAGUCUCUUGGAAAGUUUCAGGUUUUGACUGUGAAAGGAUGAACAGGUACACACAAGGCCUGAGGGGGAACGAGAGGUCAUGUCACCAUGGACUGAAACCAAAGUGGGUGUCUCUCUCCACUGAAAGGGAGACCUACAGAGUUUGAUAUUUAUGAGAGGGGAAAAAUUGAUAAAAUGGCACAUUAGUUCCCAUUAGAUAUACCAGAAGAGUGAAUAGGUCUUCAAAGCAUAAAGACUGUGCACUGAAUUUCCUUGAAAAGUUGACACAACUCAUGACUUUACACCACUGUGUUGAAUUUAAUUCCAGCUCCCAACACUGCUCUAUUGGACUUCUGCAUUGCCUCUUACUGGCAAACAUUCCCAGCUCUAACUCUCCUCCAUCUUGUAGACAAAACCCUAUGGGCAUGAUAACAGCCAUGUGUGAGCUCUUCCUUACUCCAGGAAAAACUGGGGUGAGGGGGAAGGAGUCAUGUGAUAGAAAAGGUCUUUUGGCCAGAAACCUUGCACCGAUUAGAUUUGUUUGAAACCCUCACCUCACAAACUCACAUUUCCUGGCAGUACCAUUACCAUUACCAUUACCAUUACCAUUACCAUUACCAUUACCAUUACCAUUACCAUUACCAUUACCAUUAUUGUCCCAGACCUCUUGGAAAAGGGAAAAAACACAAAGUAGGAAUACUAUGAAUUUUAUGCUGCUUUGCUGACACAAACUGAGCAGGCAGUAUAGAAAAGUGGUGGAAUAUUUUACUUACUGGGGUUAAUCCUACAUGAGUACAUCCCUACAUCCACUUUCUACCUCCUUGUCUGUUUUGAGGAUUCCAUUUAGGGUGAAAGGUGGUUUGGUGCAGUAUUUUUGUAGCCUCAAGGGCCAUGGACAGGAACUGAGCACAGCCCCUUGCAAGCAGCUGGCUUGCUGGUUUUGAGCACUCCAACAUUAAAAAACUGCUAACAUUCAUUUAGUAGUGCUGUUUCAGCAGGCAGUCAAAUACUGCAGUGCUCUGCUAAUUCAUAGGAACAAUAGUCAUCCCAGUGAAAGCAAGCCAUGGGUAGGUGAAUGGACAGAAGCAAAGACAGGAGUAGACAUGUAAGAAAGUUGUCAGGGAAGCUGACUUUACAGAUCAAAGUCAUGCCACUGAGCUGGAACAUGAGGCCAUUUUCAGGUUUUAAAGUGUUUUCUCAUUGUUAAUAAUCUGGCUGAUUAUUUAAACACAGGUGGAAUAUAAAGUUAUUUUAAGCACAGGUAGCAUAGAUAAUUAAUUUCUUCUCUUACCCUAAUGUUGUAUCUUUGAGUUCAAUCAGCUGAGUAACUUGUUACUCAGUGCAGAUUUUCCAUAAGCAACUGCUCUGGUUUGAUCAAUGGCAUGAGUUUUAAUACCUAUGAGACACAAAGUUAUGUUGCAGCAAUGAGUUAGGGUGCAGCUUGAUAAUGCACUUUUCUAUCUUUGUUUGCAUGCAUGCUGAAGUACCCGGUCACUGUGUACAUAAGGCUGGUUUGCAUCUGCUACUGCACUGAAUUCGCCCUGUGUGCCUGCAGCCAUGAGCCAAGUUUGGAUAAUGAGACUUUUUGAAUAAAUUCAUAUCUGAAGAUUUAAUCAAAUGACAGCUCGAGACCGGUCAGUACAAAUUCUAGCGUCUGCCACCCUCUACUGGUGUGAAGGAGUAAAACUCUCAGAAGUCCUUUACAAGCAGCUGUGUAGUAAAUACGGAUGGAUGCUGAGAACGCCUAUAAUACACUGUUUUUUGUUUGUUUUGUUGUUGGUUUGGUUUGGUUUGGUUUAAGAAAAGCAUUUAUGCACCAGUAACUUUUAUUUUCAUGAUUACUUUCUAAAUAGUCAGCAGUGUGAUGUUCAGUCUUGGGCUAGGAGAUACACAAAGAUCCUUAGCGUGCUUCUCCGGUAAAACAUGUGUCUUAUAGGCUUAAAAUAGAGUGUUUUGAAUCACCAUGAACAACUACAGACAAUUUUCACUUUCAGUUAUGUCUCUACAAGAGAGAGUUAGGAGUUACAGCAUUGUGCCAUGUAUGGGGUCUGUCAGAUUUUGGACACAGAGAAUUUUGCAUGAGAGAGAAUUUUGCAUGACCUUCUCAUUUAGCAAUUUUAUCAUAACACACACAAGUUAUUCCUUGAGAUUACAUGGUGUUUUGUUUUGUUAUUUAUUUACUUUUUAUUCACUGACACACAGCUAGAUUAUUUCUUCUAUUGCAGCUCAACAUGUUUAAAUUAAAGAAAAAAAAUCAAAGUUUUUAUAUAGAAUUCAGCUUUCUUCUGCAUAAUUACCUGAAAUGCAGGUAUAGGAAGCCUGAAUUACAUUCCACUCCUUUGAAGCACAUACCUUGGAAAAUCAAUAAUUUAAUUUUAAAGUAACAUAACUUUUCAGGGUUUUGGUGUUCUUGGUCCAGUUAUGCAUCAUGCUAGCAGCAGUACGCUAGCCAACUACGCAGGCACAAUUAGUCACCUGUGGUUAGCUUGGGGUGCACCAAAGCCUCUGCUCUGGCAGCACCGCAAGAGACCCCCAACCUGUUUUCUUCUCUGAAGCAAGGUUGAAGAUGUAUAGGACUUCGGUACUUGUUCUUAGCAACCAUGAGGCUCUUCUUAUAAAAGGUAGACAGGCAAAAUAACAUUCCUCUGUGCUUUGUGCCAGGAGAGCCACCCAGAACCCAAUUGGACUUACUCUUCUGACAGCUCAUGAAGAAUUUUGGAGCCCUGGGGUAUUAGGAGCUGUAUUGCCCAGAUACAGAAGCUAGAUCUGAAGGGAUGUCUAAAAGAAGAAUGAACAAGCUGACCUUAAAGAGAAAGCCGGGUGGCA